rnacentral:rRNA from 1 species
CCCGUCACCCUCACCUAACUUAACUUAAAUUAUAAUUAAUAACACAAACACUGUUAAGGGGAGGCAAGUCGUAACAUGGUAAGUGUACCGGAAGGUGCACUUGGAAAAAU